GCUAGAGAGGUUCUCGUUUGCUAAACGCAUGAUACAGUGGUUACGGUCAUGGUUAGUGUGAUGUGGAGGAGCGUAUUAGGGAGCAGCUAAUCUGGAGGACCUACCAGGAACCCUAAAAUUAAGCUCUGCAAGGAGUUCAGGUGCAUCAAUGGAACCGUUUAAGAGUUUAAUUAGAAAAUUAAGGUUGGCUAACACUCUUUUAUCGGAUAGACUACUAAGCUUUAAGUGGCGUAGAAUGGGAGAAUAGUCAUGUAAUUCAUGUUCUAUGUUAAGACAGAAAGAAAUGAAAUUAUGAAACUUACACUGAACUCGUUCAAGUUGGUAUAAGUCGGAGGAUAAUAAGGAUCCCAAAGAAUUGGGCCAUAUUCAACUAUCUGUCUAACAAGAGCGCAAUAGAGGAUUUUUUAGAGAAUGAGUUAGUUCGAAUUCAUUAGAGAUGUGCUUG